rnacentral:rRNA from 1 species
AACGAACGCUGGCGGCAUGCCUAACACAUGCAAGUCGAACGAUUGCCUUCGGGUGAUAGUGGCGCACGGGUGCGUAACGCGUGGGAAUCUGCCCUUAGGUUCGGAAUAACAGCUGGAAACGGCUGCUAAUACCGGAUGAUAUCGCGAGAUCAAAGAUUUAUCGCCUGAGGAUGAGCCCGCGUUGGAUUAGGUAGUUGGUGGGGUAAAGGCCUACCAAGCCGACGAUCCAUAGCUGGUCUGAGAGGAUGAUCAGCCACACUGGGACUGAGACACGGUCCAGACUCCUACGGGAGGCAGCAGUGGGGAAUAUUGGGCAAUGGGCGCAAGCCUGAUCCAGCAAUGCCGCGUGAGUGAUGAAGGCCCUAGGGUUGUAAAGCUCUUUUACCCGGGAAGAUAAUGACUGUACCGGGAGAAUAAGCCCCGGCUAACUCCGUG